AUUGAACGCUGGCGGCAGGCCUAACACAUGCAAGUCGAGCGGUAGAGAGGUGCUUGCAUCUCUUGAGAGCGGCGGACGGGUGAGUAAUGCCUAGGAAUCUGCCUAGUGGUGGGGGAUAACGUUCGGAAACGGACGCUAAUACCGCAUACGUCCUACGGGAGAAAGCGGGGGAUCUUCGGACCUCGCGCCAUUAGAUGAGCCUAGGUCGGAUUAGCUAGUUGGUGAGGUAAUGGCUCACCAAGGCGACGAUCCGUAACUGGUCUGAGAGGAUGAUCAGUCACACUGGAACUGAGACACGGUCCAGACUCCUACGGGAGGCAGCAGUGGGGAAUAUUGGACAAUGGGCGAAAGCCUGAUCCAGCCAUGCCGCGUGUGUGAAGAAGGUCUUCGGAUUGUAAAGCACUUAAGUUGGGAGGAAGGGUAGUAACCUAAUACGUUGCUACUUUGACGUUACCGACAGAAUAAGCACCGGCUAACUUCGUGCCAGCAG
rnacentral:rRNA from 1 species